GCAUAUCAAUAAGCGGAGGAAAAGAAACUAACAAGGAUUCCCCUAGUAACGGCGAGUGAAGCGGGAAGAGCUCAAAUUUGUAAUCUGGCACUUUCAGUGUCCGAGUUGUAAUCUCGAGAAGUGUUUUCCGCGCCGGACCGCAUACAAGUCUGUUGGAAUACAGCGUCAUAGUGGUGAGAACCCCGUAACUGAUGCGGAUGCCCGGUGCUUUGUGAUACACUUUCGAAGAGUCGAGUUGUUUGGGAAUGCAGCUCAAAUUGGGUGGUAAAUUCCAUCUAAAGCUAAAUAUUGGCGAGAGACCGAUAGCGAACAAGUACCGUGAGGGAAAGAUGAAAAGCACUUUGGAAAGAGAGUUAACAGUACGUGAAAUUGUUGGAAGGGAAACGCUUGAAGUCAGACUUGCUAUUUGGAGUUCAGCCCAUGGUGUAUUCUUCAAUUUGCAGGCCAGCAUCAGUUUUCGAGGGUGGAAAAUCGUAGUUUGAAUGUAGCAGUUUCGGCUGUGUUAUAGCUUUCUACUGGAUUCAUCUUUGGGGACUGAGGAACGCAGUGCGCUUUUAGCAAGGCUCUCGAGCUUUACGCACUUAGGAUGCUGGUGGAAUGGCUUUAAACGACCCGUCUUGAAACACGGACCAAGGAGUCUAACAUGCUUGCGAGUGUUUGGGUGUCAAACCCGGACGCGCAAUGAAAGUGAAUGGAGGUGGGAACCGCAAGGUGCACCAUCGACCGAUCUGGAUUUUCUAUGAUGGAUUUGAGUAAGAGCAAUUAUGUUGGGACCCGAAAGAUGGUGAACUAUGCCUGAAUAGGGCGAAGCCAGAGGAAACUCUGGUGGAGGCUCGUAGCGGUUCUGACGUGCAAAUCGAUCGUCAAAUUUGGGUAUAGGGGCGAAAGACUAAUCGAACCAUCUAGUAGCUGGUUCCUGCCGAA
rnacentral:rRNA from 1 species